rnacentral:tmRNA from 1 species
GGGGCCGACUGGUUUUGACAGCAAGACCAAUGGUGAUGUAAGCAUGUCGAGCGCUGGGUUACAGCUCGUAAAUCUCAUGAUUCACACUUUUUAAAUGGCGAAUCUAAUUACGCUCUUGCCGCUUAAUCUGAAUUAUAGUAAGAUUAGCCUCGUCGCUACUAGGUAGCGAAGCGAGAUGUCCCUGAAUAGCCCUUGUUGACGGCGAUUCAUUUAGGGGCACCAUAAAAGUCAACACAGGAUUGCCAGAGCUUCGAUGGCGGUCUCAAACUAAAGAAGCUAAGCGUACGAUAGGCGGUUUUGGGUCGGUCGUGCGUCGACAAUUGAACCAAGACUAAGCAUGUAGAAAGCGUUGCAAUUGCUUGUUUGGACGGGAGUUCGAUUCUCCCCGGCUCCACUG